ensembl:antisense
AAGAUUUAUUUAUUUAUUUAUUUUAUAUAGCUGUAUAGAUGGUUGUGAGCCAUCAUGUGGUUGCUAGGAAUUGGGAAUUGAACUCUGGACCUCUGCUCCAGCCCCGUUAGCUCCGGCCCAAAGAUUUAUUUAUUAUUAUAUAUAAGUACACUGUAGCUAUUUUCAGACACUCCAAAAGAGGAAGUCAGAUCUCAUUAAGAAUGGUUGUGAGGGCUGGGUGGCUUUGAAUUCCUGAUACCUAGCCUCUAAAAUGCUAGCAUUUUACAAGCAUACACUCCAACAUCCAGUUUCUUCUCCAAUAAGUUUUAAGUAUUGUUUUCCUUUUCUUGAUAAGAUGUGAUGUAUUUUGUAGCUGGGAGUAUGGCUCUGUGUGUAGAGCAAUUGCCCAGCAUGUCCAAGGUUCUAGGUUCAAAUCAUAUCACUGCUUAAAAAACAACCCAAACGCAAACACAUACACACAACAUCCACAUACCACACACAAACCAAACGUUUUGUGUCAAAACACACAUGGGAUUUGAAAAGGUAUUGCUUCUUUAUGACUUUUUAUUUUGGAUUUUAUGUUUUGAGACAGGGUUUCAAAGGUCUAGGCUGGCUUUAAACAUCUGAUGUAGAUGAGAAAGCCCUAAACUCUUAUCUUCCCACCUA